UAGUAAUCAACGUGAUAAUCUGCUUGGGUUGGAGAUUCAUUCAUAUUAUACAGUAUAUUUUCUAGUUCUGAUUGUGCAAAAUAGCAGCGAUUCAUACCACUCCACUCCCACAUUUCCAGGGUAGAAUAUUGUCAUAUACAUUAUUACAUGUAUAUAAUUACAUGUAUAAUAUAUAAUUACAUGUAUAAUACAUUAUUACAUGUAUAUGACAAUAUUAUUAUG
rnacentral:lncRNA from 1 species